UGUUAAAAUUUUAUCCAUUUGACUGUUAAAAAUUGGCGUGGUUGACGAAAUAACUAGAUUGAUAUGUGACGUGCCACAUGCGUCUCAUGCUUUUUAACAACAAAAAUUGAUGAAAUUUUUAACA
rfam:Gossypium hirsutum cultivar TM-1 chromosome 22, whole genome shotgun sequence